rnacentral:rRNA from 1 species
AGAGUUGAUCAUGGCUCAGGAUGAACGCUGGCGGCAGGCUAAUACAUGCAAGUCGAACGGUAAGGCCGAGUGCAGCAAUGCACGAGGUACACGAGUGGCGCACGGGUGCGUAACGCGUAUGCAACCUGCCCCCAACCGGGACAAAACAGCUGGAAACGGCUGCUAAUAUCCCAUGGUCACUUAAAACGGCAUCGUUAUGGGUGUAAAGAUUUAUUGGUUGGGGAUGGGCAUGCGUAUUAUUAGGUAGUUGGCGGGGUAACGGCCCACCAAGCCGACGAUGAUUAGGGGUUCUGAGAGGAAAGACCCCCACACUGGAACUGAGACACGGUCCAGACUCCUACGGGAGGCAGCAGUAGGGAAUAUUGGGCAAUGGAGGCAACUCUGACCCAGCCAUGCCGCGUGAAGGAAUAAGGCCCUAUGGGUCGUAAACUUCUUUUACCGCAGAGUAAACCCGGGGACGCGUCCCUGGUUGAGAGUAUGCGGGGAAUAAGUAUCGGCUAACUCCGUGCCAGCAGCAGC